rnacentral:rRNA from 1 species
AUUGAACGCUGGCGGUAGGCCUAACACAUGCAAGUCGAACGGCAGCACAGUAAUAGCUUGCUCUUACGGGUGGCGAGUGGCGGACGGGUGAGGAAUACAUCGGAAUCUACUUUUUCGUGGGGGAGAACGUAGGGAAACUUACGCUAAUACCGCAUACGACCUACGUGUGAAAGCAGGGGAUCUUCGGACCUUGCGCGAUUGAAUGAGCCGAUGUCGGAUUAGCUAGUUGGCGGGGUAAAGGCCCACCAAGGCGACGAUCCGUAGCUGGUCUGAGAGGAUGAUCAGCCACACUGGAACUGAGACACGGUCCAGACUCCUACGGGAGGCAGCAGUGGGGAAUAUUGGACAAUGGGCGCAAGCCUGAUCCAGCCAUACCGCGUGGGUGAAGAAGGCCUUCGGGUUGUAAAGCCCUUUUGUUGGGAAAGAAAAGCAGCAGGUUAAUACCCCGCUGUUCUGACGGUACCCAAAGAAUAAGCACCGGCUAACUUCGUG